rnacentral:misc_RNA from 1 species
ACGCCCGGACUUAAUGUGGCUGCUGGAGAUGGUUUUCCAACUAAAGUGUUCUUCAAUGGGGAGGAAUGUUCACUUCCUAAAGUAUACCCCACAAGCAACAGCAAUAGAAAGGGGCCGGCUGUAAAUUUAUGGAUCCUCCUAGCGACUCUGGUGUUCAUGCUGAUGCAGCAGUAGCUGUCAGAUGAGUAACUGCUUGGUUCUACUGUGGCUUCUAAUUCUUUUCAUUCUUUCAGGAUUUCAAUGUACACAUGCUUAUCCAGGAGGUUUCACAUUACAAGAAUUUCCAGAAGAUACGCACACCAAUAUUAGUAUAUAUGGAGUUUUGUGAAUUUGAUUAUUGUCAGCAGGUGUGCUGUUGUCUACACAUUCUGAAUGAUAUAUACAAUACUUUAACAGCAUUUUUAAAAGCGAAUGUACAAUUUGACAUCCUGUGUAGGAAUUAUUGAACCGUGUUAGUGAUUGGUCAGUUCAGGCCUGUGACCC